CUUUAGAUUAGCAUAAGGGCGUGUUUGAGAUUCAGAAACAAUGGCUCGAGGCGAUAUGCCCGCGGCGCCCUGCCCUGAGCGGCGCUUCGGAGCCUGCGGUGCCUUGCCUAGAGCGGUGCUCCAAAGCCCGCGGUGCCCUGGCCAGUCCGAUCCAGGUAAUUUCUGCAGUUUUGCUCCGCAUUUUUAAGGGCAAAUGGGUCAUUUUCCCUUUACCCAGUAGGUCCAUAACAAGGAUUAAAGCCCCAAAUAGCAUAAUUGCUCAUCCUUUUCACAAAAUCCUAUCAAGAACAAGUCCUUGUUUCAUCAAGCUUUAAGAAUCAAGUCUCAAGAACUCACCACAAUCUUCACGAAAUUAACAAGCAAGUGAUUAAUCCACCAGAGACAGCAUGGAUUUUCUCUAGUCAAAGAGGAUUGAGACCGUGAGAUCCUCUAUCUCCUUUUCUCGUUAUGAUGAGACUUAUCACUGUUGAUUUCGUGCAAUACUACUUUGUGGAAGAGUUGGCACAUCGUAGCACCUUUAAAGGUGUUCGCCCAAAAAAAAAAAAAAAAGCUUCUCUUGGCUAGUGACAAAGGAAAUGUGUCUCAUCCAGUCUAAUCUCUAGAAAAGAGAAAUGCAACUUUGUAGCAAAUGUCCUCCAUGCAAGAAGUCCCCUAAAGAGAUCUAUCAUCUUCUUUUGCACGUGGUCGAUGAACAGUUCGCUUUUCCUCUAUCAAAUUGGUACUAGAGGGUGUUCUAUGAUCCUACUUUACGCAGUUCUCUCUUUUAACUUUGGUCAUCAAUUUUGACCUUUGUUCAUGUUUGGAAGCUUUUAAUGGAUUAUGGAGUUGCAAAAGAGGAUGUUACAUGGCCAAACGAUGAAAGUACUGUUUGUCCUGUUGAUGCAACAAUAGAAAAGAAGGUAAAGAGUAAUUAAACCACCUUCCUGCCAAUCUGCGAUAACCUUGAGGAUGGAAAUGCUGAUUAUCUCGAUUUCACUGGAUCUGGCAGAAGUUGUGAUAGAGAAAAUACAGCAGCUGUCUUGCAAAAAGGUUUAAAUUGGAUGUGGCGAAUCUAUUUACUUCCCCAGAAUUCUUUCUUCAAUUUAGCUCGCUCGACCACACAACAAUAACAACACACCUCUUAUAAUCCCACAAAUGGGUGCUCAACCAUACAUACAACUGGUAAUUAUAGAGAUCGUUCUUGUCAAGUUGACAUCAUUGUUUCAACCAUAUGAAAACUUGUAAUUUUUUUUCUUAUUCUACCCCAGAUAAUGUUGGAGUAGGAUGAGUUUACUUGAUAAACAUGUAAUGUUGUUUUCUUAAUGGAACCUUUUUUCAGGGGGAAGUAUGCUUUUUGUUUCUCCA